ensembl:lncRNA
GAAGAGAGCUGAACAGCACGCUGUUCCUGUUGCAUGGAUGUUGUGUCCUCCUCUAGUCUCUUCCCCCAUUUUUCAAGUUGGAUUGUCACGCCUCGCAGGCUGAACAAAGGCUUUGCUUUGCAGGAAGGAUCCUCCUGUCUUCCGUGUGUCAUCUGCCUUUAAGGGUGUAAUUUGUUUCUGAUGUAUGCAGGGAGCUCCCAGGAGAAGGGUCUCACACCAGGUUGCUAAGCUACCCAGGCUGGGAUUGAAAUUGUGAUCUUCUUGCCUGAGCCUCCCAAACUUUUUUUUAGAUCUUGAAGCAAAAACUCUUGCAGUCCUUAAAAAUUAGGAUGUAGUUGGACUUGCUGAUGUUAAGAAGAUUUUUAAGAGCCAGGGAUUUAGCUCAGUGGCACUGUGCCUGCCUUGAAAACACAACAUCCUGAAUUCAAUCUCUAGUAUCAGAAAAAAAAGGUUUUUAAUAUGUCAGUAUCUUCUACAUGCCAGGCGCUGCAGUAAGGACUUGAAAUGAUAUAUGAAGCAGGUAUUAUUACUGCCAUUAUGCAAAUGAGGAUGGAGCUCCGAGAGUUUCAGUCACUGGCAUUGCACAGCUGAGACCCAGACUCGGUCUGACUCUGAACUCUGCUUUUGUGGUCUUUAUCACUCUCCUGUAGACAUCUUGUCUGUCAUUAGGAUGAAAAGGCUUGUGAGUGUGAGUGGGUUACAAAGUGUAGCUUGAAAAAGAAGACAACCUCGGAGAAGCUGCCAGUCCGUACCAUCUUUCUCUGCUUCCUUGUUUUCCAGGAAGCUUUUCAGAGAGACCAGAAUCUUCUCAGUAGCCAGAACCACAUGGUGGAGCCGUCUUGAUGUCCCAGGAUAGUCGGACACCUGCACACGUGUGCCCUUCUCUCUGGGACUUUGAGGCAGCCUUGCAGAUGCUGAGUCUCAGAAUUUGCUUCCAGCUCGAGGGACAUCUUAGGGAGGUGAUUCUCCACAUUGGUCCCCAUGGCUACGCCACUUCCGUCCUCUUGAGAAAAAAGGCAGGAAAGCAGCAGACCUCCUCCAACUGGUAGAGUGAACCCCGGAGGCUCUGGGAGACUUGCCAGUGGAACUUGGGAGUGGAGCAGCUUUGCCUUACAUCCCCCCUAGACUUCCAAAGGCAUCUUGAAAACAGUCUCUGGAAAUUUUGAAAAAAUCGAAUCUUGAACUGAAUUCCUUUUGUGGUUUGGAUGAAACAGUCUUUUGCUGCCUCGCCCUUAUCUGCCUCUCAGCCUUCCUCUGUCUGACACACAUCAUUGUGGUUCUUUCCCACACUGGUUUGGGCUUUCCAUGUCCCAGACUCUGCAGAGCUUCCUCCUGGGAUCUGCGGCCCAGCUUCUCUCCCAAGCCCACAUUCCCACAGGAGCCAAAUUGGGGAUCACUAUGGGGAAUGGAAAUGGGGACAUUCUAUUGCGGGACAGAAUGUGGUGCAGUGUGUGGGGUCCCCCGGUUGUUUAUUGACAUUCUCAGUCAGCCCUGCAGUGGGCAUGCAGGCAAGACAAGACGUUCGAAAAGACCCACCUGAAAAAUUAUUUCCCAAGCACCGCAGUAUGUGCUUUUUUUCAUAAGGAUCGUACAACUCAUCAUAAACAAAUCGUGCAUGUGAUUAUUUUCUGCAUAUUGAUUAAAGUUCUGUUUUUCAACUUCUGUAGCCAGCCAAUAUGUCUAGAUACUGGAAUUCCUUAUAAUCUGUAGGCCUGAGUACCUGCCCUGAUUUAGCAAGCGGACUUCAUUUUUUUUCUUAAAUCUUUUUUUCUCUUCCAGUUUUCCAAAGAAAUUAGACCAACGUCUUAUUGGUGGAAAGAAAGCAACCUGCUGUAUGCAUAGGGAGAGCACGGUCAUGCAGUGAUGUUGAGGCAAGUGUGAGGACUAAGCUCUCCAGUGGAACUGGGAAAGGGGGACUUGCCUGCGGCACUUUGAAGGAAGCCUGUGCUGACUCAGUCUGUGAGUCCUGUUCAUUUCUGUUAGUGAGGUAGGAAAAUGUAUUGCGAAGCAUUUUGUUUCACCUAAGG